GGAAACAGAUGCUAAUACCGGAUAAAAAGCACUUUCGCAUGAAAAGAAGUUUAAAAAAGGACGGCGUAAGCUGUCGCUAAAGGAUGGACCUGCGAUGCAUUAGCUAGUUGGUAAGGUAACGGCUUACCAAGGCGAUGAUGCAUAGCCGAGUUGAGAGACUGAUCGGCCACAUUGGGACUGAGACACGGCCCAAACUCCUACGGGAGGCAGCAGUAGGGAAUUUUCCACAAUGGACGCAAGUCUGAUGGAGUAACGCCGCGUGAGUGAAGAAGGUUUUCGGAUCGUAAAGCUCUGUUGUUGGUGAAGAAGGAUAGAGGUAGUAACUGGCCUUUAUUUGACGGUAAUCAACCAGAAAGUCACGGCUAACUACGUGCCAGCAGCCGCGGUAAAU
rnacentral:rRNA from 1 species